UACAGAGGGUGCGAGCGUUGUCCGGAUUCACUGGGCGUAAAGGGUGCGUAGGCGGUCGGGUAAGUCUGAUGUGAAAUCUCACAGCUUAACUGUGAAACUGCAUUGGAUACUAUCCGGCUCGAGGAAUGGAGGGGAGACUGGAAUACUUGGUGUAGCAGUGAAAUGCGUAGAUAUCAAGUGGAACACCAGUGGCGAAGGCGAGUCUCUGGACAUUUCCUGACGCUGAGGCACGAAAGCCAGGGGAGCAAACGGG
rnacentral:rRNA from 1 species